rnacentral:rRNA from 1 species
UACGGAGGAUGCAAGCGUUAUCCGGAUUUAUUGGGUUUAAAGGGUGCGCAGGUUGUUUGAUAAGUCAGUGGUGAAAGUCUGUCGCUUAACGGUAGGAUUGCCAUUGAUACUGUUGGACUUGAAUAUGGAUGAGGUAGGCGGAAUGUGUAGUGUAGCGGUGAAAUGCAUAGAUAUUACACAGAACACCGAUUGCGAAGGCAGCUUACUAAUCCAUCAUUGACGCUGAGGCUCGAAAGCGUGGGGAGCAAA